GAUGAACGCUGACAGAAUGCUUAACACAUGCAAGUCUACUUGAACUUCGGUUUGGGUGGCGGACGGGUGAGUAACGCGUAAAGAACUUGCCUCACAGUUAGGGACAACAUUUGGAAACGAAUGCUAAUACCUGAUAUUAUGAUUUUAGGGCAUCCUAGGAUUAUGAAAGCUAUAUGUGCUGUGAGAGAGCUUUGCGUCCCAUUAGCUAGUUGGAGAGGUAACGGCUCACCAAGGCGAUGAUGGGUAGCCGGCCUGAGAGGGUGAACGGCCACAAGGGGACUGAGACACGGCCCUUACUCCGACGGGAGGCAGCAGUGGGGAAUAUUGGACAAUGGACCAAAAGUCUGAUCCAGCAAUUCUGUGUGCACGAUGAAGUUUUUCGGAAUGUAAAGUGCUUUCAGUUGGGAAGAAAAAAAUGACGGUACCAACAGAAGAAGUGACGGCUAAAUACGUG
rnacentral:rRNA from 1 species